UGGGGGGAGAUCAGCUGGAAGUGAAGGGGGGACGGGCUUGGGUUUUGAAGGUGAAGGUCUCUGGAGAACUGGGGACACGUGGAUCUGGAGUAAGAGGCACCUACUGAAACCGGAAGGUGGCUGAGAGAAGGUUUUAUGUGAGGUGUGGACGGGAGGCUGUUGGACUAGAAGGCAUUAGUUGGUCUGUUAGGACAAAGUAUACAAGCAGCAAACGCGGUAGAUUUAUGUGUGGUAGGUGAAGGCUGUGAAUCUUUUAUGAGUAGUUGAGCAAGAACAGUUGUCUGAUUCUGCAGUGUCGGAGAGUGGAGGGUCUCAGUUAGUGUCUUGGUCAGGCUGGAGUGCAGUGGCGAGAUCAUAACUCGUUCCAGCC
rnacentral:sRNA from 1 species